rnacentral:lncRNA from 1 species
AGGACCAUUCCGGCCAAGUGCCUGUUGGUAGCAGCUUAGUUGACAUCUGGUCUGGGGGUUCUUGUAGGUGGCAGUGGCUGAAAUCCGUGUGGAGGAAAAAAAAAAAUCCAAAGCCGAAGAGACGCCAUGGACGACCAGGGCUGCCCCAGGUGUAAGACCACCAAGUACCGGAACCCUUCUUUGAAGCUGAUGGUGAACGUGUGCGGACACACUCUGUGUGAGAGUUGUGUGGACUUACUGUUUGUAAGAGGAGCUGGAAACUGUCCUGAGUGUGGGACUCCACUGAGAAAGAGCAACUUCAGGGUACAACUCUUUGAAGAUCCCACUGUUGAUAAGGAGGUUGAAAUUCGGAAAAAAGUACUAAAGAUGUAAGUGUUAUUGUCAAGGGAUUUGGCCAGCAAAGAAAACAUCAGCAGCUAUUUCAAUAGUCAUUAUUAUUAUCUGCUUAUGUAAUUUUGAACAAAUUGGGCAAGUAACAAAGUAGUUAUAAAAUCAUCUAUAUACGUGUUUUACAGCAUUGUUUGAGUUUAUAGAGAACUGUGUGGUAUCUAACCUUUGCUGUUUAUUACUUAAUUGUCAAAUAAGUAUCUGUUUUAUAUAUUUGCAGUAAUUAAGACAUGAUGUAGAAAAUAGCGAUAAUCCUUCUUCUCAUGGCUUACUAUUAAAGUAGACAGAAAUUAAAGCAGCAAACAAAACAAAUUUACAAUAAAGACUAAAGAGGCAACAUUUAAGUGUCAGUUUGAAACUUAUUUCAACACUUAAAUGUUAGCUAUACUCAUUUUUGGCACGCAUGUGGUAUAUUCUUAUGAUUUGUUAGUAGUUUUGAAUUUCAUUUUAUUUGCCCUUUUGUUAUAAGGUACUUUAGUAUUUUAAACUUAAUACAUUUCCUUAAGGUUUGGUUUUGGUUUUGGGGGAUUGAACCCAAUGCCUUGAGUACUCUAUUGUAUGCUCUGCCUCUGAGCUGCAUGUCUAGCCCAUACCUCUCAUCUUAAUUUUUAAAAGUGGUUUGUUUUAUUUUAAUUAUCUGUAUUGUGAGUGUAUAUCUGUGUGUGGAUUUGUACACAUGUGUGCUGGUGUUCUGGGAGCCAGAGGUGUUGGUGUUCGAUCCACCUGGAGCUGGAGUAACAGGCAGUGCUAAUCUACCAGAUGGGGUGCUGGGAGACGAACUCUGCUCUUCUGCAAGAGUAGUACAGGCUCAGGCUCUCUCUCUCUCUCUCUCUCUCUCUCUCUCUCUCUCUCUUCCUUUGUCAUUAUUUAUAAUCUUAUCUAGUUUUAUCUAGUUUGAGAGUUUAAGAGUUCAAGAGUUUAAGCCACUUUUCAGAGAUCACACCUCUUAAAUAUUUUUCAUUAUUUAUUAAAAGGAUGAAUUAAGCAUCCUUGCUUUUUCAGUUCCUUGGUGUCAUGCUAUAAAGAAAGAUGCAGCAAAUGCAGAGCCAAGCACACCGCCCUCACAGCCAGCAGCCGCCACUUUUUUUUUUUUUUUAAACUGAAAGUGGCAAAUUCUUCCUGGAGCCCUCCUUCUAGUGCCUAGGAUGGACCACAGAGGUGGUGGGCCUCUGAUGCUUUGCCCAACAUGGUGCUGCCUCAAGUUAAAUGAGGGAUGAAGAGAAAGAAGGUGGAAGAAAUGGCGGCAGCAUCAUGUUUCCUUUCUUCAUGACCUUGCUGUCCCAAGCAUAAUACAGGUUCUUAGCCACUGAGCACCUCUCCGGCCCCUCUUAGUUCUUAUUUUUGGGGGUAUACAUUUUACUAAUGGUUUAGUAACUUCUUGCUGGAUGGUGUCUUGGUAAUACUUUAUCAGUGGCCGAGCCAAGCUUCUCAUUUACUUGUAGUACUUCAAAGCGCCAUCUUUUACAUUCUGAUCUUUAUCUUUAACCUUUUCAGUUUUGUUAUUAUUCACAGAUACAUUACACCCCCCCCCCUUGCAGCCCCCAGGUUUCUCUGUGUAACCCUUGCUGUCUUGGAAUUCACUCUGCAGACCAGGCUGGCUUCAAACUCACAGAGAUCCACCUGCCUCUACUUCCCGGGUCUGAGAUUAAAGAUGUGCACUGCCACUAGCUGGCAGACCUAAUAUUUUUAAGGUCAUAUUGUCAUGAAAAAAAUGAAAGUCCUUUUUAAAAUUGAACUUCAGUUUUCUUCAAUUAAUGGCUCUAUAAUAAAUAGUAUAGUUUACAGUGAUAUGUCUUACUUAAAUUCAUUUCCAAAUCCCUGAAGUAUGUUAUUAAAUCUUUUUACUUAGGUCUUUUAAGAAUUGUGCAUGUGCCGGGCAGUGGUGGCGCACGCCUUUAAUCCCAGCACUUGGGAGGCAGAGGCAGGUGGAUUUCUGAGUUCAAGGCCAGCCUGAUGGACAGAGUGAGUUCCAGGACAGCCAGGGCUACACAGAGAAACCCUGUCUCGAAAAACCAAAACAAAAAACAAACAGAGAGAGAGAGAGAGAGAGAGAGAGAGAGAGAGAGAUAGAGAUUUGUGCAUGUGAUACCAUUCUCUCCUGAUUCUACAGUUUCUCUGUAAUCAUAAGAAUUUUAAGAAUAGUGUUUUUGGGUUGCAUGCAUAACUCAGUGGUAGAACACAUGCCUUUUGUGAACAGAAAUCAACCUUCCACACCCUACAAAAGAACCAGAAAACAAAACAAAAC